GCCCUUGUAGCUCAAUGGGUAGAGCUCCGGGCCUGUCAAGCCCAAGGCCAGUGGUUUCGAUCCCCGUUGGCGGGACA